UUCCUUGGUGACAGGGCAAAACUUUGUCUUAAAAAAAACAAAAACAAAGGAGGAAAAGUAAUAGUGAAGCUGGCCUGAAUGUUGUAAUCUGGUAUAUGGCAUGUGGGCUAGUUUCAGACAGGU
rnacentral:snoRNA from 1 species